UACGUAAGGGGCAAGCGUUGUCCGGAUUUAUUGGGCGUAAAGAGCGUGUAGGCGGUCAGGUAGGUCGGUUGUGAAAACUGGAGGCUCAACCUUCAGAGGUCGACCGAAACCCCCUGGCUAGAGUCCGGGAGAGGAGAGUGGAAUUCCUGGUGUAGCGGUGAAAUGCGCAGAUAUCAGGAAGAACACCCGUGGCGAAAGCGGCUCUCUGGAACGGUACUGACGCUGAGACGCGAAAGCGUGGGGAGCGAACAGG
rnacentral:rRNA from 1 species